CUUGACGACCAUAGAACAUUGGAACCACCUGAUCCCAUCCCGAACUCAGCAGUGAAACGAUGCAUCGCCGAUGGUAGUGUGGGGUUUCCCCAUGUGAGAGUAGGUCAUCGUCAAGA
rnacentral:rRNA from 1 species